CCCGUACCAUCGGGACUACUUGGGUUUCUACACCCUGGACAGCCACCUCCUGUCCCCUUCUGUUCACGGCCUGCUAGGUCAGUUCUACCAUGGGAUUGAAUAUGAGGUGUCAGACCUGCGUCCAGGUGAAGUCCCAGAGAAACCAGAUGCCACCAUGUAUGUGAAAGGACAGGAGCUCAAUGUGACCAGAGGCUGGCAGAGAGACUUCAGGAGGGAUGUGAAGAACGGAGAAAAUGUUCCCUGCUGGUUUAUUCACAGUAAUGGAACCGGCCUCAUCGAUGGAGAGGCUGCAGACUACAUUGUGUCAGGCCUUUUUAAAACAGUUUAAAAACAGGUUACACAUCAGUGUCACUUACACCAUGAAUGAAUGCUUUAACAUCUUGUACACAAGGCCCAACAGGCUUCAUUCACAGCAGUGCAUGGACAAUGUCACAGUUUCUAUCAGUGUAAUUGCUGGAAUUAUAAGAAUUGAAAGUAAAAUGAACACAAAAUACUGAGGGGUUCUGAGAGACAGCCUCAGCUGCCACUUGUAUUGAAAUAAAUGGGACAAAGUUGAUAAAGAUGGA